ensembl:snRNA U2 U2 spliceosomal RNA
GUAGCUUCUCGGACCUUCAGCUAAGGCCAAGUGGAGUAUCUCGUUAGAUUAGUAUCUGAUUUGGCUUCUCUUUGAGGACACUGUAGGAAAUAGAUUUUCGGAGCAGAGAGGUGGGUCAGAAGCCUGCUCUGUUCACCCAGUGGGUCGACCUGGUAUCGCAGCAUCUCCAGGAAUGGUGCACCGCUC